CCCUUAGAUGUUCUGGGCCGCACGCGCGCUACACUGACGGCUUCAACGAGUUAUUCCUUGGCCGAAAGGUCCAUGGGUAAUCUUGUGAAAGGUUGUCGUGCUGGGGAUCGAUCACUGUAACAAGGAUCGUCAACGAGGAAUUCCUAGUAAGUGCGAGUCAACAGCUCGCGCUGAUUACGUCCCUGCCCUUUGUACACACCGCCCGUCGCCCCUACCGAUUGGAUGCUCAGGUGAAUACUUCGGACUGGUUGCGUUUGGUUUCGGCCGGCGUGAUCGGAAAGUUGCGUAAAUCUUAUCAUCUAGAGGAAGGAGAAGUCGUAACA
rnacentral:rRNA from 1 species